AACUGUGAUGUUGCACCCAUCGCUUUAGGAGCGAAGAUCGAGAAAUUAUGAAAACAUCUGCGUGUUGAUACAGGUCGUUCGGUGGAUUUCCUUACUCUAUACCAGCUGCUUUCUUAGUCCGUUUAGACGUUUUAAAGUCAGAAAUUUAUUUAUGGUUCACAAUUUUUUCGACCAGUCAUGAGUAAUCCAGAUGUCAUUACCCUGGAGGGAAGUUCACAGAACGAGAAUGAGGACAAUCUUCCUGAUGCCAAGACGUGUCAGGACCGUGUAGAGAGAUUUGCAGCAAUCACUGGAACUGAUGAAGCAUUAGCACAGUUUUACCUUCAGGACAGGAAUUGGAAUCUUGAAGCCUCUGUGAAUGCAUUCUUUGAAUCUCAGGAGCCUCCUAGUCCAAAGAGAGAAAAUAAACUUGAAGAUCAAGAUGUUCUGGUGACAUAUGAUAGCUCACAUUCAUCAGGUGGACCUCAGGGAAGCAUUACUACAGAGCCACCCAAAACUUUUCGCCUUAUAAGCUGGAAUUUAGAUGGGCUUGAUGAAAAGAACCUUAAAAAAAGGACAAAAGCUGUUGCAAAGAUACUUGAAAUGGAAAAAGCUGACAUAGUGUUUUUGCAAGAGUUGAUUCCUGCUACUUACUCAUACUUAGAGGAACGUCUUCCACAAUUUCAUUUCAUAGUUGGGAACAAUGAAGAGUACUUCACUGCAACAUUGUUACGGAGAACAACCGUGUAUUAUGAUGGGCACACUGUUUAUCCAUAUGAGAACACUCGAAUGGGCCGUAACCUUUUGUCAGUUCAGGCACAUAUUGGAAAAGUAAAGCUCAACCUUUUGAAUACUCAUUUGGAAAGCACUGCAGAGUUUACUAAGCAGCGCCAGGAGCAGAUGAAGAUGUGUUUUGCUAAGAUGAAGUCUGCCUCAUCAGAAAUGACAACAAUAUUUGGUGGUGAUUUAAAUGCAAGAGAUAAGGAGGUGGCAGUAACAAUAAUUCCUGGUGUAAGUGACUUAUGGGAAACCUGUGGUAGAAGACCGGAAUGCAGAUGGACUUGGGAUACACAGAGGAACACAAACAAAGAGUUCCCAGGAAAAUACAAACCAAGGACAAGAUUUGACAGAGUUUACUUUAAGCAAGCUUCUCCUGCAGCUGUGUCUCCCAAGCAUUUUGGUCUUGUGGGGAUUCAGAAAGUAGCUGGAACACAGAGUUUCCCAUCUGAUCAUUGGGGCCUUGUAAUUCACUUCCAGGGUAUGAUUCAUGCUCCAAGGUCUACAAGAUGAUGUCCUUCCAAGCUUCUGUGAUGCUGUAGAUGUUGCAGAUAGCAUAGAUGCAGAUAAUAUAGGUUGUUGUAUAGAGGCUUCUUUCCAGCACGUUAUGGAUAUUACAAUUGCAUUAAAUGACAUUACUUCGUUGCUUUUGGAUUUAAUUUCUUAUUUUUAUUCUCUCCUGUGAUAAAAUUUGAACCCUGGAAAGUAUAACUGUUGUAAUUCAGUGGAAUUACAGCAGUAAUUAGGAGUGAUGAGGAAAAUGUGGCUAGCACUUUCUUAGGUAAUUUGUUCUCUUUAUUCUCAGGUUGGCAUUAUUGAUGUACGAUACAUUCUUGAAUGUUGUUAUAUGACUUGAUCUUCUAAGUUUUGGAAAGUAGGAUGUUAAGGCAUUACAUGAAUUACCCUAGUUGAUUUUUUAUUUCAAGGGAAGAAGCAACUUCACUAAGUUAAUUUCAGAAUAUGCCUAUAUAGUAUUCACUGUGUUGAAAUCAGCUUUGUAUUAUUAUUAGAUUUUUAUAAGAAUUCAUGUUCUUGUAAGCACUAAUGUUGAUACGACUUGAAAACAGAAUGUGUAUUUGGUGGUCAACUUGAGUUAUAUAAGAGAGAGUUCUCCUGUGUUUUGGAUCAAUAAAUACGCAUAGUACAGGAUAGAAAUUUAGGUUUUGGACUUUAAAGAUACGUAAUUUUGUUUGGUUUGAUGUGCAGUCAUGAACUUUUAAGGUACAGUAAAGUAUAAGAUGAUUAUUACCUGAUAUUGCCGUAAAACCUAAGGCAAUAUCUGGUAAUAAUUUACUCAGAUAUACAUUUAUUAGUUUGAGGCAGUGGUAAUGUAGGUAUUUCUUUCAAAAUGGAAGAAAAAGAAUAUUAACACUAUCAUUUCCUGUAUUGCUAGCUUAUGUCUCAGAAAGUAGAAAGCAAUGGACCAAGAUGCAUAUGGUUUACAAUGGCUUUUGAUGAUGUACUUUUAGAUAUGAUGUAUGUGAAGAUUUGUAUCACUCAUUCUAUUAGGCGUUCACUAUGUAAGAAUUUGUUUAGUACUUUGGUCUUGGUCACUAUAAUUUUUAUGAAAUUCAUUUCAAAUCCCUUUCUGAAAAUUAGCUCAGUGGUCUGAUUAAACUCCUUAAUUUAAUAGUAAUAAUAAAUAAUAAUAAUGGGUGGUAUAGAAUUUAUAAAUAUGUCAAGGUAAAUGUAUUGUGUUCGUGUUUUUUUGUCUGCACAUGAAGUAUUUCAUGGAAAUUGCAUUCUCCAUGAAAACACUUUUAGCAUAUUAGUACUGCAAUGUGCAGAUUGUAUAAAUUACAGGCUGAGAUUAUAUGUGGCAGUUUUAUGUAUUGAUUGCUUGAUAUGUUUUUUUAAUUUUGAAACGUUAUGGAAAACAUUUCAUGACCGUGAUAAUUUGUAGUGGUCUAUCUUUAUAGCUUUGUAUAUAUGUCUGUGUGUUUUGUCAUUUUCAAAUAUGUAUGUGGAAUAUCUCAGACCUGCUUUUUGCAAAUUAGCAACCACAUGCAGGAAGCACAUACAAUAUGUCUUAACAUGUUAUUUGUUAUCCUUUUUUAGCUGUUUCUGCUUAUUUCAAAAAAGAUUUACAUAUUUUAAUAUAAUACAUUUACCAGAUCUUGAAGUAAACUCUUAACUCCUCUAGUAGUAGAUGAAAUGUACACAAAGAACAUGUAAUUAUAAAAAAAUAACUUAGCAGUUGGUUUUGUGUGAAGGUAACUAAGUUAUCCCAGAAAAAGUAUGUACUACAUGUAUUAUGUUUCAUUAAAGCAACAGGUUUCAUUUUCAUAUAGUAUUUUUUUCUGUUUUCCUUUUAUUUUGCCCUAUACUUUUUAUUUUUCAUGUUUGCAACUCAGUAUUGAAUAAUUGUGUUGUUAAUUUGCGGGAGGAGCAUUCAUCAAAAUUAUGAAUAAUGAGAAACUCUUAGAUUUUUGUGACUAUAUUUUUUUAUUUGUUUGUAAAAGGGAAAUGAAAAUUCGUUAAAGUUGAAA